CUGGAGGUAUCAGAAGUGCGAAUGCUGACAUAAGUAACGAUAAAGCGGGUGAAAAGCCCGCUCGCCGGAAGACCAAGGGUUCCUGUCCAACGUUAAUCGGGGCAGGGUGAGUCGACCCCUAAGGCGAGGCCGAAAGGCGUAGUCGAUGGGAAACAGGUUAAUAUUCCUGUACUUGGUGUUACUGCGAAGGGGGGACGGAGAAGGCUAUGUUGGCCGGGCGACGGUUGUCCCGGUUUAAGCGUGUAGGCUGGUUUUCCAGGCAAAUCCGGAAAAUCAAGGCUGAGGCGUGAUGACGAGGCACUACGGUGCUGAAGCAACAAAUGCCCUGCUUCCAGGAAAAGCCUCUAAGCAUCAGGUAACAUCAAAUCGUACCCCAAACCGACACAGGUGGUCAGGUAGAGAAUACCAAGGCGCUUGAGAGAACUCGGGUGAAGGAACUAGGCAAAAUGGUGCCGUAACUUCGGGAGAAGGCACGCUGAUAUGUAGGUGAAGUCCCUCGCGGAUGGAGCUGAAA
rnacentral:rRNA from 1 species